CAUGCCUCUCUCACUCCAUUUUUGAAACACUCACGGCUCCUUUUUUCCUUUUACCAAAAGAAAAAACUCUCCAAAAAAUCUCUUACGCCCCUCUUCCUUAUAUCUACGGUCCCUUUUUUAAAUUCUUUUUUCCCUUCUCUCUCUCUCUCUCUCCCCCCAUUUUUAAUCAAGUGAGUCUUGGUUGGACUUGCAAUUGUGAACUUUAUUUUCUCCCUUCUUACCUCCACUCUCCAUCCCCCCCCCCCCCCUCUUCCUCAGUUUUUUUCUCAUCACUUCUAUUCUCUGUCUCUCUCAGGUUUUGGAGAAUUAUUAUGUUAAUAAUUUUGUUUUCCUUUUUUCUUAAUCAAGUUUGACAAUUCAAAUGAAACGUUGAAGCCUUGAUCGAUUUUUGAGGGUAGUGGCUACAAGAACUUCUGUGACUCUGAGGCUGGUAUUUCUGUAGCUUGUUCCACUACCCUCUUAAAACAGGGUAGUGGAUCUUUAUAGCUCAAACGGUCAGCAUUAUUGAAUAGAAGAGUAUAGACAUCUGGAACUCUUCGUUGCUGCUAAAUCUAAACCAAGUCGAAGCUUCUUUGCUCUUUCAAUGAAGGUCGAAGCCCUUAGAGAUGGAGUUCUCCUUGUUGGAGCCUUGAUCUGUGGAAAAUCUAGUGUUGGUCUGACUCUCUUGGUUUACUCUCCUGCCUAAAUGACUUUGUUUCAGCUCUAGACCAUAGUUAUUAAAUUCGGAUUCGGGAAUUUUGGGAUGAAGAAUUAUUCAGAUUAAUAAGUUUUAUUAAUUCAA